rnacentral:rRNA from 1 species
UGCCUACGGGAGGCAGCAGUAGGGAAUUUUCGUCAAUGGGCGCAAGCCUGAACGAGCCAAGUCGCGUGAGGGAAUAAGGCCCUACGGGUCGUAAACCUCUUUUGCCGGGGAGCAAGGGCGGGGACGUGUCCCGGCCCGGAGAGUACCCGGAGAAAAAGCAUCGGCUAACUCCGUGCCAGCAGCCGCGGUAAUACGGAGGAUGCGAGCGUUAUCCGGAUUUAUUGGGUUUAAAGGGUGCGUAGGCGGAAUGCCAAGUCAGCGGUAAAAUCGCGGGGCUCAACCUCGCUCCGCAGUUGAAACUGGCG